rnacentral:rRNA from 1 species
UACGAAGGGACCUAGCGUAGUUCGGAUUUACUGGGCUUAAAGAGUUCGUAGGUGGUUGAAAAAGUUAGUGGUGAAAUCCCAGAGCUUAACUCUGGAACUGCCACUAAAACUUUUCAGCUAGAGUAUGAUAGAGGAAAGCAGAAUUUCUAGUGUAGAGGUGAAAUUCGUAGAUAUUAGAAAGAAUACCAAUUGCGAAGGCAGCUUUCUGGAUCAUUACUGACACUGAGGAACGAAAGCAUGGGUAGCGAAGAGG